UCCUCCUCCUCUCAGAAACAUCUCUCCAUCUUAGUUAUCCUCCUCCUCCUCUCAGAAACAUCUCUCCAUCUUAGUUAUCCUCCUCCUCUCAGAAACAUCUCUCCAUCUUAGUUAUCCUCCUCCUCCUCUCAGAAACAUCUCUCCAUCUUAGUUAUCCUCCUCCUCCUCUCAGAAACAUCUCUCCAUCUUAGUUAUCCUCCUCCUCCUCUCAGAAACAUCUCUCCAUCUUAGUUAUCCUCCUCCUCCUCUCAGAAAUCCUUCCUGUUCCACGGGGUGUAUACUGGUUCCAGUCGUAGCGUUCCGUUCUCCCUGAGGAACCGUUCCUCUGCCGUGGCCCGGGUCCAGUUUGACCUGUCAGAACAUACUGACUUCACCAUCCACUUCCCUCCACACUCUGCAGGUAUAUAUUUGAUUGAUUGAUAGAUUAAUUGACUGUGACUGAAAUGCUCUGAGAAGAUAGACAGUCAUAAACUGUCAGCCUAGUUUAAUUUAGAUGUAUGGAUUACUAAACUGUCAGCCUAGGAUAAUUUAGAUGUAUGGAUUACUAAACUGGAGGCCUAGUUUAAUGAAGAUGUAUGGAUUACUAAACUGGAGGCCUAAUAUUGAGAGCCAGGUGUUGGUGUGUUACAGGUACGAGCCAGGAGCCAGACGUGUUUGUGAUGGAUUUACAGGGGCAGCAGACUGCCCAGUGUUGCCUGGUGUUCUCCCCUAAACAAGUGGCUGCGUAUGACUUCAACCUGCCUGUGACUGUCAACGGUGUGGGCAUGCCUCCCUCCUCCUCUUCCUCCUCCCACGCCCCUCCCAGCUCCGUCCUCAAGUCCUCCUCUUCCAGGGACCAACACAUCGUCACCCCGCGCCCGCUCCCCAUCGCCAUGGAGACGCUAUCACGCAGGGUGCAGGCCACAGCCCUGCGAACCCUGCUGGAGAUGUCCCCAUCAAGUCUCCAGUUUGAUCUGGAGCCCUUUAUCUCAGUUACUACUACCUCACGAACUCAGACCGUAGAGCUGAGGAACGUGUCUGACAAGAGGCUGAGCUGGAGGCUUGACUGCAGCGCUGCAGUAACACCAGGAGGGGACAGUAGCACCAGCAGCAAUGAGGGGCUGUUCGCUAUCUGUCCUACUGCUGGGACCCUGGAGCCACUGCAGUGUGUGUCUGUCACUGUCUCCCUCUCUCCUGCGAGAGUCACACCAGGUUAACCCCUCUCUCACCUCACCCUCAGAGCUCACUUAAUAUAAUAACAACACUCCAAAGUUGAUCGUUUUUUAUUUAUUUAACUAGGCAAGUCAGUUAAGAGCAAAUUCUUAUUUACAAUGGCGGCCUAUCCCGGCCAAACCCGGACGACGCUGGGACAAUUGUGCCCCGCCCUAUGGGACUCCCAAUCACGGCCAGUUGUGAUACAGCCUGGAAUCAAACCAGGGUCUGUAGCGACGCCUCUAGCACUGAGAUGCAGUGCCUUAGACCACUGCGCCACUCGGAUUCAGGUUUUCCAACCUCAAAAGUGGUGUUAUGUUUAGAUGAGUCCUCCUGGUACUGUAUGAUUUAAUGUUGGUUCUGUAAAUGUUUUUUUGAUGUGUUUUGUUCUGCAUCUUCACUCUUUCUUCCAGUGACAGCAGGUCAGAUCGAGGUGUCCCUCCCUCUGUUUCUGUCUGAGGAGGGGCAGGAGGAGAGAGAGGGGGAGAAGGGGGAGGAGGGGGGAGUCCCUCACCCCUACAGGGUGCUGUCUCUCAGUGCCACCCCUCACCACCCCAGCAUCACCUUCCUCCCCCCUCGAGUCCUCCUCACCCCUGUCCCUCUGGACACACCCUCCACCACCACCCUCUUCCUGCUCCCCACCGGGUACCCCAGGUCUGUACCACCCAUCCACCUGCCUGUCAUAAUGGGCUUCCACCCACUAACUGACUGUUUAUUGUAGUACAGUAAUACCUAAUGAUCUCUAUGCUCUGAUAGGUCGCCUGUGUAUUUCUAACCUGAUCCAGCAGUAUUACAGCUCCAAAUAAACAAGACUAUUUGUACAGAUCUGCAUUUUCAUACAGUAAUAAUACAGAAUAGAG
rnacentral:lncRNA from 8 species